rnacentral:rRNA from 1 species
AGUGAACGCUGGCGGUAGGCCUAACACAUGCAAGUCGAACGGCAGCACAGUAAGAGCUUGCUCUUACGGGUGGCGGGUGGCGGACGGGUGAGGAAUACAUCGGAAUCUACUUUUUCGUGGGGGAUAACGUAGGGAAACUUACGCUAAUACCGCAUACGACCUACGGGUGAAAGCAGGGGAUCUUCGGGCCUUGCGCGAUUGAAUGAGCCGAUGUCGGAUUAGCUAGUUGGCGGGGUAAAGGCCCACCAAGGCGACGAUCCGUAGCUGGUCUGAGAGGAUGAUCAGCCACACUGGAACUGAGACACGGUCCAGACUCCUACGGGAGGCAGCAGUGGGGAAUAUUGGACAAUGGGCGCAAGCCUGAUCCAGCCAUACCGCGUGGGUGAAGAAGGCCUUCGGGUUGUAAAGCCCUUUUGUUGGGAAAGAAAAGCAGCAGGUUAAUACCCCGCUGUUCUGACGGUACCCAAAGAAUAAGCACCGGCUAACUUCGUG